GCACAAGCGGUGGAGCAUGUGGUUUAAUUCGACGUUACGCGCAAAACCUUACCUGGGCUUGACAUGCUUGUGGUAGGAACCCGAAAGGGUGACGACCUAUUCUUCGGAAUAGGAGCUUGCACAGGUGCUGCAUGGCUGUCGUCAGCUCGUGCCGUGAGGUGUUGGGUUAAGUCCCGCAACGAGCGCAACCCUCAUCCUUUGUUGCCCUUCACGGGGCUCUCUAAGGAAACUGCCGGCGAAGAGCUGGAGGAAGGUGGGGAUGACGUCAAGUCCGCAUGGCCCUUAUGCCCAGGGCUACACACGUGCUACAAUGGCAGGUACAAAGGGACGCGAGGCCGCGAGGUGGAGCCAAUCUCACAAAGCCUGUCCAAGUUGGGAUCGGAGUCUGCAAUUCGACUCCGUGAACCUGGAAUCGCUAGUAAUCGUGGAUCAGCACGCCACGGUGAAUACGUUCCCGGGCCUUGUACACACCGCCCGUCACACCACGAAAGUCUGUUGUACCCGAAGUAGGUGAGCUAACCAGCAAUGGAGGCAGCUUCCUAAGGUAUGGCCGGUAAUUGGGGUGAAGUCGUAACAAGGUAACC
rnacentral:rRNA from 1 species